rnacentral:misc_RNA from 1 species
UACGGAGGGUGCAAGCGUUAAUCGGAAUCACUGGGCUUAAAGGGUGCGCAGGCGGGCCUGUAAGUACUUUGUGAAAUCCCAGAGCUCAACUCUGGAAUCGCUCGGUAAACUACAGGUCUUGAGCCCAACAGAGGUCGUCAGAACGCUAGGUGGAGCGGUGAAAUGCGUAGAUAUCUAGCGGAAUGCCAAAGGUGAAGACAGACGGCUGGGUCGGUGCUGACGCUCAGGCACGAAAGCAUGGGUAGCGAACGGG